rnacentral:tRNA from 1 species
CGGCGUGGCCUAAUGGAUAAGGCGCAUCCCUCCUAAGGAUGAGAUUGUGGGUUCGAGUCCCACCGUU